rnacentral:rRNA from 1 species
GAUGAACGCUGGCGGCGUGCCUAAUACAUGCAAGUCGAACGAAACUUCUUUAUCACCGAGUGCUUGCACUCACCGAUAAAGAGUUGAGUGGCGAACGGGUGAGUAACACGUGGGCAACCUGCCCGAAAGAGGGGGAUAACACUUGGAAACAGGUGCUAAUACCGCAUAACCAUAGUUACCGCAUGGCAACUAUGUAAAAGGUGGCUAUACUACCGCUUUUGGAUGGGCGCGCGGCGCAUUAGCUAGUUGGUAGGGUAAAGGCUUACCAAGGCAAUGAUGCGUAGCCCAAGUCAGAGGUUGAUCGGCGACAUGAGAACGUGGACGCGGCCAAAGCUCCUACGGGAGGCAGCAGACGGGAAUCUUAGGCAGUGGGCGAAAACCUUAUAGAGCAAGGCCACGUCGGUGGCGGAGAUGUUCGGAUCGUAAAGCCCUGUUGUUGGUUAAAAAAGUCCGUGGGCGGAACUGUACACGUUUUGACGGUAACUAGUCAAAAAGCACCGGCUAACUACGUG